GACGAACGCUGGCGGCGUGCUUAACACAUGCAAGUCGAACGGAAAGGCCCUGCUUGCCGUGUACUCUAGUGGCGAACGGGUGAGUAACACGUGGGUGCUCUGCCCUGCACUUCGGGAUAAGCCUGGAAAACUGGGUCUAAUACCGGAUAGGAGCCAUUUUUAGUGUGAUGGUUGGAAAGUUUUUUCGGUGUAGGAUGAGCUCGCGGCCUAUCAGCUUGUUGGUGGGGUAAUGGCCUACCAAGGCGGCGACGGGUAGCCGGCCUGAGAGGGUGGACGGCCACAUUGGGACUGAGGGACGGCCCAGACGGCGACGGGAGGCAGCAGUGGGGAAUAUUGAACAAGGGGCGCAAGCCUGAGGAAGCGACGCCGCGGGGGGGAUGACGGCCUUAGGGUGGUAAAAUCCUUUGGCGAGGGACGAAGCUGUUUGUGACGGUACCUAGAGAAGAAGCACCGGCUAACUACGUG
rnacentral:rRNA from 1 species